UUCAUUGCUUCAUUCUUUCAUUGCUUUGCUGUGCAUUCUGUCCAAUUCUUUGUUCAAAAUGCCAAGAACCUGGACAAUUUGCAGUCAAGACCCUCCACCGGGAUAUGAACUUCCAAUUAUAUCAUUGGACUUGACUACUCCAUUUCUUUCCACAUUUAAAAAUCAAUCAGGGAGAAGCUAUUUUGAGAACUUAACACAGUAUUUAACAUGGGAUUUCUGAAUGAAGACAGUUUAUGGAUGAAUAAGGCACUCUCUCACCAAGUGAGUGGUUGGAGCAAGACAGUGUCUCGAGAUUGAAACAGAACACGAUGGAGCUGGAAGUUAUAGUUCUGAGAUCAUCAGGAAUCAGAGUCAAAUCAUUAACUAGUGAUUAUAUGCCACACAAGAAAUCCUCUCUGGGUUAGAAAUCUUAAAAUAAGAGGCUGUUAUAUACAUUUGUCGAGAUAAAAUUAUUGAUUAGUAUUUAUAAGACUUUGAUUUCAUAAACUUAAUAGACUACAUAUGCAACUUAGGAUAUAAUUCCAAAAAUCUAGCCACAGCACAUUUGUGUGUUUCAACAAAGUAAUGGCUUUUUUGUUAUUAGAAUAAAUAAAGUUACCUUGUGAGAAAUUGAUUGAUCUAACUACUUGUGAACAGGGGAAAGAAACGUUGUUAAUUAGAGGCCAUCUGUUGCAAAUGUGAUCUGGCCAGAAUUUUGUUUAACAUGUGGAACGCUUAUAAAUUAUCUGAGUUUGCACAUUUACCUUUAUUGCGGAGUCUCCCAGCCUACUCAUUAGAUCACCCGAAUGAGGUACACAGCAAACUCAUGUAACUAUCUAAAAUAAAAUUCCCCACAUUUAGGUGUUUGGAAUUAGCUAUGAAAUAAUAAAGUGUCUCUCAAUAAGAUAAAAUAUUUUUAUAACACUUUCUUAAAAACAUGGCCGGCUUUAAAGGAAGGGAGAGUUCAGUUUUUAAAUUAAAGUAGGUGUUAAAUUGACCUAAGGUACCUUGCAGACAUUUAGCCCAGCUUCCUCCCUGGCAGAGGAAGAAUUACCACCUAGAGAAAAGCACUAAACUGGCAAAAACAGAGCCCAGUCUUCGAACUUGCAGGCCAAUUUCCUUUGCAUAUACCAUGCUACCUAAUGAUCGAGAUACUCUAGAGUAAUUCUGAAUCCUGACCUCUAGAGUUGAGAGCAAUCAGUGGACAAGUAAGACAUGGCACUAUGGUGCAAAGAACCCCCACUUCAUCACAUACAAAAUUCAUCACAUUGGGCAACACACAAUAAUGGGACUUGAAGUAAGCUAACAAUACGUUAUCUUCUUCAGAGAGAGUUAAAAUUUAAUUUGAAUUAAGUAGAAAAUUAGAGACAGUGCAAAAGCAUUCAAAAUUAGCAUUUGCUUAUCUUAAACAACUCUUAAAAUUAAGUAAUUUUGUUAGUUCAGCUAUUUUAAAAUAUCAAUAAUCCAGCUA
rnacentral:lncRNA from 1 species